rnacentral:rRNA from 1 species
UGGGGAAUCUUCCGCAAUGGACGAAAGUCUGACGGAGCAACGCCGCGUGAGUGAUGACGGCCUUCGGGUUGUAAAGCUCUGUUAAUCGGGACGAAUGGUUUUUGUGUGAAUAAUGCAAAGAUUUGACGGUACCGGAAUAGAAAGCCACGGCUAACUACGUGCCAGCAGCCGCGGUAAUACGUAGGUGGCAAGCGUUGUCCGGAAUUAUUGGGCGUAAAGCGCGCGCAGGCGGUUUUGCAAGUCUGUCUUAAAAGUUCGGGGCUCAACCCCGUGAUGGGAUGGAAACUGUAGAACUAGAGUAUCGGAGAGGAAAGCGGAAUUCCUAGUGUAGCGGUGAAAUGCGUAGAUAUUAGGAAGAACACCAGUGGCGAAGGCGGCUUUCUGGACGAAAACUGACGCUGAGGCGCGAAAGCCAGGGGAGCGAACGGG